GCGAGGACAUGAUUCACGGCAGGCCUGUCCCCCUGGGUCUCCGAUAGUGUCCCAUGCCAGAGCAAACCGUGGCCUGGAGCCACUGCCUGGCCUCUGUCCAUAGGCUGCCGGCACUGAAGCGGGUUGCACAGUG